rnacentral:rRNA from 1 species
UACGGGGGGAGCAAGCGUUGUUCGGAUUUACUGGGCGUAAAGGGCGCGUAGGCGGCGCAACAAGUCACUUGUGAAAUCUCCGGGCUUAACCCGGAGCGGCCAAGUGAUACUGUCGUGCUAGAGUGCGGAAGGGGCUACUGGAAUUCUCGGUGUAGCGGUGAAAUGCGUAGAUAUUGAGAGGAACACCUGCGGCGAAGGCGGGUAGCUGGGCCGACACUGACGCUGAGGAGCGAAAGCGUGGGGAGCGAACAGG